GGUUAAGCGACUAAGCGUACACGGUGGAUGCCCUGGCAGUCAGAGGCGAUGAAGGACGUGCUAAUCUGCGAAAAGCGUCGGUAAGGUGAUAUGAACCGUUAUAACCGGCGAUGUCCGAAUGGGGAAACCCAGUGCAAUUCGUUGCACUAUCGUUAACUGAAUACAUAGGUUAACGAGGCGAACCGGGGGAACUGAAACAUCUAAGUACCCCGAGGAAAAGAAAUCAACCGAGAUUCCCCCAGUAGCGGCGAGCGAACGGGGAGCAGCCCAGAGUCUGAAUCAGCUUGUGUGUUAGUGGAACGGUCUGGAAAGUCCGACGGUACAGGGUGAUAGUCCCGUACACCAAAAUGCACAGGCUGUGAACUCGAAGAGUAGGGCGGGACACGUGGUAUCCUGUCUGAAUAUGGGGGGACCAUCCUCCAAGGCUAAAUACUCCUGACUGACCGAUAGUGAACCAGUACCGUGAGGGAAAGGCGAAAAGAACCCCGGCGAGGGGAGUGAAAAAGAACCUGAAACCGUGUACGUACAAGCAGUGGGAGCACCUUCGGGUGUGACUGCGUACCUUUUGUAUAAUGGGUCAGCGACUUAUAUUCUGUAGCAAGGUUAACCGUAUAGGGGAGCCGCAGGGAAACCGAGUCUUAACUGGGCGUUAAGUUGCAGGGUAUAGACCCGAAACCCGGUGAUCUAGCCAUGGGCAGGUUGAAGGUUGGGUAACACUAACUGGAGGACCGAACCGACUAAUGUUGAAAAAUUAGCGGAUGACUUGUGGCUGGGGGUGAAAGGCCAAUCAAACCGGGAGAUAGCUGGUUCUCCCCGAAAGCUAUUUAGGUAGCGCCUCGUGAACUCAUCUUCGGGGGUAGAGCACUGUUUCGGCUAGGGGGUCAUCCCGACUUACCAACCCGAUGCAAACUACGAAUACCGAAGAAUGUUAUCACGGGAGACACACGGCGGGUGCUAACGUCCGUCGUGAAGAGGGAAACAACCCAGACCGCCAGCUAAGGUCCCAAAGUCAUGGUUAAGUGGGAAACGAUGUGGGAAGGCACAGACAGCCAGGAUGUUGGCUUAGAAGCAGCCAUCAUUUAAAGAAAGCGUAAUAGCUCACUGGUCGAGUCGGCCUGCGCGGAAGAUGUAACGGGGCUAAACCAUGCACCGAAGCUGCGGCAGCGACACUAUGUGUUGUUGGGUAGGGGAGCGUUCUGUAAGCCUGCGAAGGUGACCUGUGAGGGUUGCUGGAGGUAUCAGAAGUGCGAAUGCUGACAUAAGUAACGAUAAAGCGGGUGAAAAGCCCGCUCGCCGGAAGACCAAGGGUUCCUGUCCAACGUUAAUCGGGGCAGGGUGAGUCGACCCCUAAGGCGAGGCCGAAAGGCGUAGUCGAUGGGAAACAGGUUAAUAUUCCUGUACUUGGUGUUACUGCGAAGGGGGGACGGAGAAGGCUAUGUUAGCCGGGCGACGGUUGUCCCGGUUUAAGCAUGUAGGCUGAUUAUCCAGGCAAAUCCGGAUAAUCAAGGCUGAGGUGUGAUGACGAGGCACUACGGUGCUGAAGUAACAAAUGCCCUGCUUCCAGGAAAAGCCUCUAAGCAUCAGGUAACAUCAAAUCGUACCCCAAACCGACACAGGUGGUCAGGUAGAGAAUACCAAGGCGCUUGAGAGAACUCGGGUGAAGGAACUAGGCAAAAUGGUGCCGUAACUUCGGGAGAAGGCACGCUGGUGUGUAGGUGAAGCCCCUGCGGGUGGAGCUGAGACCAGUCGAAGAUACCAGCUGGCUGCAACUGUUUAUUAAAAACACAGCACUGUGCAAACACGAAAGUGGACGUAUACGGUGUGACGCCUGCCCGGUGCCGGAAGGUUAAUUGAUGGGGUUAUCCGUAAGGAGAAGCUCUUGAUCGAAGCCCCGGUAAACGGCGGCCGUAACUAUAACGGUCCUAAGGUAGCGAAAUUCCUUGUCGGGUAAGUUCCGACCUGCACGAAUGGCGUAAUGAUGGCCAGGCUGUCUCCACCCGAGACUCAGUGAAAUUGAACUCGCUGUGAAGAUGCAGUGUACCCGCGGCAAGACGGAAAGACCCCGUGAACCUUUACUAUAGCUUGACACUGAACAUUGAGCCUUGAUGUGUAGGAUAGGUGGGAGGCUUUGAAGCGUGGACGCCAGUCUGCGUGGAGCCAACCUUGAAAUACCACCCUUUAAUGUUUGAUGUUCUAACGUUGGCCCCUUAUCGGGGUUGCGGACAGUGUCUGGUGGGUAGUUUGACUGGGGCGGUCUCCUCCCAAAGCGUAACGGAGGAGCACGAAGGUUAGCUAAUCCUGGUCGGACAUCAGGAGGUUAGUGCAAUGGCAUAAGCUAGCUUGACUGCGAGCGUGACGGCGCGAGCAGGUGCGAAAGCAGGUCAUAGUGAUCCGGUGGUUCUGAAUGGAAGGGCCAUCGCUCAACGGAUAAAAGGUACUCCGGGGAUAACAGGCUGAUACCGCCCAAGAGUUCAUAUCGACGGCGGUGUUUGGCACCUCGAUGUCGGCUCAUCACAUCCUGGGGCUGAAGUAGGUCCCAAGGGUAUGGCUGUUCGCCAUUUAAAGUGGUACGCGAGCUGGGUUUAGAACGUCGUGAGACAGUUCGGUCCCUAUCUGCCGUGGGCGCUGGAGAAUUGAGGGGGGCUGCUCCUAGUACGAGAGGACCGGAGUGGACGCAUCACUGGUGUUCGGGUUGUCAUGCCAAUGGCACUGCCCGGUAGCUAAAUGCGGAAGAGAUAAGUGCUGAAAGCAUCUAAGCACGAAACUUGCCCCGAGAUGAGUUCUCCCUGAGACUAUAAGUCUCCUGAAGGAACGUUGAAGACGACGACGUUGAUAGGCCGGGUGUGUAAGCGCAGCGAUGCGUUGAGCUAACCGGUACUAAUGAACCGUGAGGCUUAACCUU
rnacentral:rRNA from 1 species